GUACCGGAAGGUGCGGCUGGAUCACCUCCUUUCUACGGAGAAUACAGGAUGCCGUUCGGCGUCCGGUGCGGACCCUCCCGCGCGAUGGUCGCGUGUGGACGGGUUGCUGGUGUGGAAGAUGUCGUUGGCUUUGCCCCGCCGGUCGUGCGGUGGGUGCCGGGGUGGUGCGGAUGCGCUUUUGGGCUCCCGGAUCGCCACCCCAGGCUUUUGCCUGGCGCGAUUCGAUGCCCGUCGUGCCUGCGGGCCGGCCGUGUGCCGGCGUGAUGGCGUGGCGGUGCGUGGUGGCUUGAGAACUGGAUAGUGGACGCGAGCGAAACAAUGGUUUUGAAUCUUUGUUUUGCUGUUGAUUUCGAAUCGAACUCUAUUGUUCGUUUCGAUCGUUUUGUGAUCAUUUUUAGUGUGAUGAUUUGUCGUCUGGGAAUUUGCUAAAGGAAUCUUGCGGCCAUGCACCUGUAUGGUGUGUGUUGCUUGCAAGGGCGUAUGGUG
rnacentral:misc_RNA from 1 species